ensembl:lncRNA
UACCCCAUAGACACCCCAUAGAUCUGCCCCAUAGAUAUCCCAUAGACACCCCAUAGACACCCCAUAGAUCUGCCCCAUAGAUACCCCAUAGACACCCCAUAGAUCUGCCCCAUAGAUAUCCCAUAGACACCCCAUAGAUCUGCCCCAUAGAUCUGCCCCAUAACUGCCCCAUAGAUACCCCAUAGAUAUCCCAUAGACACCCCAUAGAUCCGCCCCAUAGAUCUGCCCCAUAACUGCCCCAUAGAUACCUCAUAGAUAUCCCAUAGACACCCCAUAGACACCCCAUAGACACCCCAUAGAUCUGCCCCAUAUAUCUGCCCCAUAACUGCCCCAUAGAUACCCCAUAGAUAUCCCAUACACACCCCAUAGAUCCGCCCCAUAGAUCGGACCCAUAGAUCUGCCCCAUAACUGCCCCAUAGAUACCCCAUAGAUAUCCCAUAGACACCCCAUAGAUCCGCCCCAUAGAUCUGCCCCAUAGACACCACAUAGAUCUGCCCCAUAGAUAUCCCAUAGACACCCCAUAGACACCCCAUAGAUCUGCCCCAUAGAUCUGCCCCAUAGAUAUCCCAUAGACAGCCCAUAGACACCCCAUAGAUCUGCCCCAUAGAUACCCCAUAGAUACCCCAUAGACACCCCAUAGAUCUGCCCCAUAGUUCCGCCCCAUAGAUACCCCAUAGAAACCCCAUAGCUCACAGCUGCCCCAUAGAUACCCCACAGCUGCCCCAUAGAUACCCCAUAGGUACCCCACAGACACCCCACAGCUGCCCCAUAGACACCCCACAGCUCUGCCCCACAUCCGCCCCACAUCCGCCCCACAUCCGCCCCAUAGAUCUGCCCCACAGCUGCCCCAUAGACACCCCACAGCUGCCCCAUAGGUACCCCAUAACACCCCACAGCUGCCCCAUAGGUACCCCAUAGACACCCCACAGCUGCCCCAUAGGUACCCUAUAGAUACCCCAUAGACACCCCACAGCUCUGCCCCACAUCCGCCCCACAUCCGCCCCAUAGACACCCCACAGCUCUGCCCCACAGCUGCCCCAUGGACACCCCACAGCUGCCCCAUAA